CAGGAGUUAUCACAUACGACCAUAGAUAGCAGAAAGCUCGGGAUCCCGUCCGCUCUCCCUUAGAUAAGCUGCUAAUCGCAAUGUUAUCUUCCGGGAUGGCUUUUGCCCCACUCUUUUGCUGAGUCAGCACCCGAACGUUUUGGCUUCCGCAAGAGGCUCAACACCACCUUUUUCAGCAAUCGCAACGGACGGCACCGUCUUGUUGGCUUCACCCCU
rnacentral:rRNA from 1 species